AAAGGGAGACCUAAUUCAGGUAGGAGACGAAAAAAAAGUAGUCGCUACCAAGAAUCAAUCCCAAAAGGUCGGAGCGAGGCGAAAUUGGCUUUCAAACUAGGUUCUGGGUUCAAACAAGACCUGAAUCAGGAACAAGGGCUAUUAGCUCAGGUGGUUAGAGCGCACCCCUGAUAAGGGUGAGGUCCCUGGUUCGAGUCCAGGAUGGCCCACCUGCACAGGUGGCAAAAACAAGAGAAGCGAGGAAUCAGCACCUUAUCUUACUUAUAUAGUAAGAGAGAAUGCUGGCUCUGAGUAAAGAGUCCAGAGGAGCCUUGAAAACUGCAUAGAGCUAGGUGAAAAAGCCAAAAAAGAAGACCGCAAG
rnacentral:tRNA from 1 species